rnacentral:rRNA from 1 species
UACGUAGGGGGCAAGCGUUGUCCGGAAUCAUUGGGCGUAAAGAGCGUGUAGGCGGCUCGGUAAGUCCGCUGUGAAAGUCCAGGGCUCAACCCUGGAAUGCCGGUGGAAACUGUCGAGCUAGAGUCCGGAAGAGGCGAGUGGAAUUCCUGGUGUAGCGGUGAAAUGCGCAGAUAUCAGGAAGAACACCAACGGCGAAGGCAGCUCGCUGGGACGGUACUGACGCUGAGACGCGAAAGCGUGGGGAGCGAACAGG